UACGAAGGGGGCUAGCGUUGUUCGGAAUUACUGGGCGUAAAGCGCACGUAGGCGGGUCGUUAAGUCAGGGGUGAAAUCCCAAGAGCUCAACUCUGGCAACUGCCUUUGAUACUGGCGACCUAGAGUUCGGAAGAGGUUAGUGGAAUUCCCAGUGUAGAGGUGAAAUUCGUAGAUAUUGGGAAGAACACCAGUGGCGAAGGCGGACUAACUGGUCCGAUACGUGACGCUGAGGUGCGAAAGCGUGGGAGCAACAGG
rnacentral:rRNA from 1 species